rfam:Octopus bimaculoides Scaffold220005_contig_6, whole genome shotgun sequence.
UCCCAUGUAGUCUAGUGGUUAGGAUACCUGGCUUUCAUCCAGGCGGCCCAGGUUUGAUUCCUGGCAUGGGAA